UACGAAAGGAGCAGGUGUUAUUCAGAUUCACUGGGCGUAAAGGGCACGUAGGUGGUUUGUUAUGUGUACUAUAAAAUUAUAAAGCAUAACUUUAUACUGUAGUAUAGACAACUAAACUAGAGUUAGGUAGAGGGUAGUAGAAUUUCUAAUGUAAAGGUGAAAUUUGAUAAAUUUAGAGAGAAUACCAAUGGCGGAGGCAACUACCUGGGCCAUAACUGACGCUGAGGAGCGAAAGCGUGGGGAGCGAACAGG
rnacentral:rRNA from 1 species